rnacentral:miRNA from 1 species
GCAGGUGACUCCAAAACUUUUG